GACGAACCGAGCGAACGUUAUUCGGAAUCACUGGGCUUAAAGGGCGCGUAGGCGGGCCAUCAAGUCAGGGGUGAAAGCCCCCAGCUCAACUGGGGAAGUGCCUUGAUACUGGUGGUCUCGAGGGGGAUAGGGGCGUGCGGAACUUCCGGUGGAGCGGUGAAAUGCGUAGAUAUCGCUUGGAACGCCGAAGGUGAAAACAGACUGCUGGGGUUGCGCCGACGCUGAGACACGAAAGCCAGGGGAGCAAACGGG
rnacentral:rRNA from 1 species